rnacentral:rRNA from 1 species
UUUUGAUGAACCAAACAUAGAGUUAAAGUGCCAAAAUAUACGCUAAUGUAGAUCCCAGAAAAGGUGUUGACUCAUUCUGACAGCAGGACGGUGGUCAUGGAAGUCGAAAUCCGCUAAGAAGUGUGUAACAACUUACCUGCCGAAUGAGUUAGCCCUGAAAAUUGAUGGCGCUCAAGCGUAUUACUUAUACUCUAUCGUUAGACUGAAACUUCAAGAUUAUAGUUUAACGAGUAGGCGUGCGUGUUGGUUGUAGAGAAGCUCGCUGCGUGAGCAGGAGUGUAACAGCCAAUAGUGCAGAUCUUGGUGGUAGUAGCAAAUAUUCAAGUGAGAACCUUGAAGGCCGAAGUGGAGAAAGGUUUCGCGAGAACAGCAUUUGAUCGCGAGUCAGUCGAUCCUGAGGCACAGAUUAACCUCGAGAAUCAGGCGAUUGGCUUCUGGUAGGGUAGUUGAAAGAUUAUUUUGUCAGAGGUGAAUUUAUUUCGUCUAUUGGUGUCGAAAGGGAAUCAGGGUUAAUAAUCCUGAACUAAUUAUCGGAUAUCUAAGUGCGGUAACGCAAACGAAACUGGAGACGGCUGCCAGUAUCCCGGGAAGAGUUCUCUUUUCUGUUUAACGGCUGCCUACUAACCAUUAAAUGGAUUUCGAUUCAAAUAAUGGUAAAUACCCCUGGAAUUAAAUUAUUUGGAGAUAGGGGUAGACAGUCGGAAGAGCAUGUCACUAUAAGAUGUGUCUGGUGCAUACUGGUAGUCCCUUGAAAAUCCAGCGGAGACAAUGAUUUUCGAAAUUAGUCGUACUCAUAACCGCAGCAGGUCUCCAAGGUUUGAAGCCUCUGGUCAAUAGAAUAACGUAGGUAAGGGAAGUCGGCAAAAUAGUGCCGUAACCUAGGGAAAAGGCAUGGCUCUAAAGGUUGGGUGCAAAGGGUCUGUAUUGCGGUCAUAGGUAACUAGGGUUGUAUGCGAGGCCCCUGUCGCAAGAUGGGAGCUAAGUGUGCUUCUUUGGCCCUAUGACGGGUGCAGGGUAGUCUUACUUAUAUUUGAUCAAGGGUUCGCUUUUGAAAGGGUGUAGGUCGCUUUCUUUGUGCAAUUAACAACUAAUUUAGAACUGGUACGGACUUGGAGAAUCCGACUGUUUAAUUAAAACAAAGCGUUGUGAUGGUCUAAGGUGAUUUUGACACAACGUGAUUUCUGCCCAGUGCUCUGAAUGUUAAAGUGAAGAAAUUCAACCAAGCGCGGGUAAACGGCGGGAGUAACUAUGACUCUCUUAAGGUAGCCAAAUGCCUCGUCAUCUAAUUAGUGACGCGCAUGAAUGGAUUAACGAGAUUCUCACUGUCCCUAUCUACUAUCUAGCGAAACCACAGCCAAGGGAACGGUCUUGGCAAAAUCAGCGGGGAAAGAAGACCCUGUUGAGCUUGACUCUAGUCAGACUUUGAGAAAUGACAUGAAGAAUAUAGCAUAGGUGGGAGGUUAUAACAAU